AGAGGUGGCAAGCGUUGUUCGGAAUUACUGGGCGUAAAGGGCGCGUAGGCGGCCAUCUAAGUCAGACGUGAAAUCCCCCGGCUCAACCUGGGAACUGCGUCUGAUACUGGAAGGCUAGAGUUUGGGAGAGGGAUGUAGAAUUCCAGGUGUAGCGGUGAAAUGCGUAGAUAUCUGGAGGAAUACCGGUGGCGAAGGCGGCAUCCUGGACCAAUACUGACGCUGAGGCGCGAAAGCUAGGGGAGCAAACGGGAUUAGAUACCCCGGUAGUCCUAGCCCUAAACGAUGAAUACUUGGUGUGGCGGGUAUCGAUCCCUGCCGUGCCGAAGCUAACGCAUUAAGUAUUCCGCCUGGGGAGUACGGUCGCAAGGCUG
rnacentral:rRNA from 1 species